rnacentral:rRNA from 1 species
GACGAACCGUGCGAACGUUGUUCGGAAUCACUGGGCUUAAAGGGCGCGUAGGCGGGUCAUCAAGUCCGGGGUGAAAUCUUUCGGCUUAACCGGAAAAUUGCCUUGGAUACUGGUGGUCUUGAGGGAAGUAGGGGUCUGCGGAACUUCCGGUGGAGCGGUGAAAUGUGUUGAUAUCGGAAGGAACGCCGGUGGCGAAAGCGGCGGACUGGGCUUCUUCUGACGCUGAGGCGCGAAAGCUAGGGGAGCAAACGGG